AAAGUAAUUGUGGUUUUUCCAUUACUGUCAGUGGCAAAAACUGCAAUUACUUUUGC
rnacentral:miRNA from 1 species